AAUGAACGUUGGCGGCGUGGAUUAGGCAUGCAAGUCGAGCGCUCAUCAGCAAUGGUGGGAGCGGCGAACGGCGUAGUAAUGCAUCGGAACGUACCCUCUGGUCGGGGAUAGCUACGGGAAACUGUAGGUAAUACCCGAUGAACUCUGCGGAGCAAAGGUGAGAUUCCGCCGGAGGAGCGGCUGAUGUGAUAUUAGCUAGUUGGUGGGGUAAUGGCCUACCAAGGCGAUGAUGUCUAGGGGGUGUGAGAGCAUGGCCCCCACGACCGGAACUGAGAUACUGUCCGGACACCUACGGGUGGCUGCAGUCGAGAAUCUUCCGCAAUGGACGAAAGUCUGACGGAGCGACGCCGCGUGCGGGAUGAAGGCCCUUGGGUUGUAAACCGCUGUCAGAGGGGAUGAAAUCUCCGGAGGUUCUCCUUCGGAGUUGACAGAGCCUCAAAGGAAGCACGAGCUAAGUACGUGCCAGCAGCCGCCGUAACAC
rnacentral:rRNA from 1 species